AAAAAAUGGAAUUGAGAUUUCUGUUGCUGUUGUUGUUGCUAGAAGACAGUUCACCAUGAGGUGAAGCCAAACAGGACCUCUUGGGAAAUGCAAAACACUUCACCGAGAAAGGCCUAGAGAGGCCAGGACUGCAGCCCUCUUCUCAUGCAAGUCAUUCCAUGAAUUUCCAAGACGCUGCUCACAUGAGACUACAAAACAGGACAAAAUACUGUGGCACAUAAGGGCAGCUGGAUCAACCAGGAGGCCUUGAGCCAUCAGCCAGCCAGUAGGCGCUGAGCCGCGUUUGCACAAUGCCUUCCUUGACGAUGGCUUCCCCUCCCAUGCUGCUGCCUCCAGCAUGCUCUGCCUACCUCCGCCAUCCGCGACAACAUGUUUCACCACCAUCUGAAACGCUUUUCUGGAUGAGCCAAAGAGCUAGUCUGCAGGAUCUAAAAGAAGAUGGAGUGGACACAGCAAUGUGGUUUCAAAGGGUCAAGAAGCCCUUCUUCCAGAGGGCUGCCGUGGUCCUCACUGCACGGACGGGGUGUCUUACCCACGACAAGGUUUAGCUCGGCGGUGGUGCCUACGAUGGUAGCAGGAGGUGAAGCAUGUGCUGACAGAGCUCAUUGCUGGGAAGCGAAUAAAUGAUUCCUGGCACUAGAGUUGGCA
rnacentral:lncRNA from 1 species